rnacentral:rRNA from 2 species
UUAAAUUGAAGAGUUUGAUCAUGGCUCAGAUUGAACGCUGGCGGCAGGCCUAACACAUGCAAGUCGAACGGUAACAGGAAGCAGCUUGCUGCUUCGCUGACGAGUGGCGGACGGGUGAGUAAUGUCUGGGAAACUGCCUGAUGGAGGGGGAUAACUACUGGAAACGGUAGCUAAUA